rnacentral:tRNA from 1 species
CCUUCGAUAGCUCAGUUGGAAGAGCGUGGGACUGUAAUGGUUAACAUCAUCACUCACUGAGUGAAGUCAUCCCGAGGCCGCUGGUUCGAUCCCGGCUCGAAGGA